UUAAAGAGAUGAAAAGGGGGGAGAAAAGAUGCUGACUGGUGCAAGUGAUGGAACAGCGCUUUCAAUGAGCCUAUGAGGAGGCAGAGAGCAAGUGCAGCGAGGAGAGAAACCUAAAAGUGAAGUUCUUUGCAGCAAAGGCCCUGUAGAUCAGGACGCACCUCAACGGCUCGUAUGAAUUGAUAAAACCUCUCAGCAGAUAUGAGCGUAUUAAUAGACUGACUACUGGGAUUGUUCAAGUUUGGGCUGGGAGGUCAUUUAGAAAACGGAGGAACAAGUAGUGAUUUGUGUGGGAGGAAGAAUAAAAAAUGGUGGCACCUUCAUAGUGAGCUGUGAGUUAGGUGUGAUUUUUACCAUCUACAGCGUGCGUGUGAACUGGUCUCCAGUUUGGUUGCAGGUUUCUGCUGAGCAGAAAGUGUGGUGUCUUGAUUUGACUUGACUGCUGCUUCUGAUAGUUAUGGACUCCACUUCACUGCUGUCUGUGGUAGGCGGGGCUCUCUUCCUGUCAAUCAUACUGGCAACCAGUCUUUGUACAUACUGCUGGCGGUAUAAACAACCAACAUCCAUACCUCAGAGGUCCAGUGACUCUAGUCCAGCACCAUUUGUGAUUCGGCAUCCCCAGUCAACAUAUGCGCCCCAUCCAGAUCAUCACAGGAUUAGCAGCGUACCUUACCCACUAGCCAAUUCACUUAGUUCACCAUCUAUUACUGUCACAAAGCUGCCCUCCUGUCCUCCCUCAGAAACUGGAAGUCAAGCCAGUUAUGUGAAUCAAAACGGUGAGGAGGGAAGCAACAUUCAUGUCGAAGACCAUGGUAGGAAAUCGAAUGACACAUUUUUGAGUAGUUAUGGAGUGUAUUGUAAUUGUGCCUUACACAUGAAACCGAGUUAUGGGUGACAUGGAAAAUCUUUGUGAGUGAACAAAUGUGUGUGCAUGAGAGAUUGACUGGAUAAUAAUCCAGAAUAUGUGAUUCUUCUCUAGACAGUGAAGAUGAAACGAACAUGAACUACAUGUAAGAAGAGCACUCAUUCCUGAUCCCAAAUCUUCACAAGUUGUUCCAAACUAUUAGUUAGGCUAAAUCUGAAUAAAUAUCCAUAUGAAACUGAAGGAAAAUAUAUAUUUUUUGUCCUUCCAGUUUUGUGAUUCCAGAUUCCCCAGGCACACAGCCUUCAUCCCACAGUUCAGAAAAAACGUAUAUAAAUGAAGAGAUAAGUCCCUCUGAGGAUGAAUCCAACUCAGACUGUCACGAUUAUGAAAAUUUCCGCAAUUCUUCAGACCCCCAAAACCAAACCUCUCGUCUAUCCCGUGGAAGUGUGAGCAGUGAUGAUGAGCGGGGCAGCUCUGAUUAUGUCAACACAGAGCCUAACUCAUAAUGAUCCAGGAUUUGCCUUCUAUCAAGUGAGGUGGUUAGAGGCCUGGAAAUCAUCCCGUGUCUCCAGAUAUACCCAUGCUUUGAAUUUUGAAGUGCAGCACCACCAAGAAAGCAUUGAACCACUACCACCUCACAGAAAACUCCACUUCCUCCCUCUAUCCUGCUGACGAUACCUGAGAAUUUCUUUUUUUAAACAUUUGCUGUUUACUACGUAACGCAUCCAGGCUUUUGCUUCCAAAAAUAUGAGUGCAGAGAAAUUUCUUUGACUCUUUGUAAUAUACAGCUUUUAUACAGUCAAAUGUUUAUAACAUUUAGUUAUUGGCUUGUAAAUGUGGAAAUAAAGUUAAUCACUAAUUUA